UACGUAGGGGGCUAGCGUUGUCCGGAAUCAUUGGGCGUAAAGAGCGUGUAGGCGGCCCGGUAAGUCCGCUGUGAAAGUCGGGGGCUCAACCCUCGAAUGCCGGUGGAUACUGUCGGGCUAGAGUGCGGAAGAGGCGAGUGGAAUUCCUGGUGUAGCGGUGGAAUGCGUAGAGAUCCGGAAGAACACCGGUGGCGAAGGCGGCCUGCUGGGCAGUGGCUGACACUGAGGCGCGACAGCGUGGGGAGCAAACAGG
rnacentral:rRNA from 1 species